rnacentral:rRNA from 1 species
UUUAUAAAGAGUUUGAUCCUGGCUCAGGACGAACGCUGGCGGCGCGCCUAACACAUGCAAGUCGAACGAGCGAGAGAGAGCUUGCUUUCUCGAGCGAGUGGCGAACGGGUGAGUAACGCGUG